UCGGGUGUGGUGUACGGUACACAGCAAGCUUCGGUGAAGUUGCCGUAUCUUUGAACGCGCAGCUUGCAGACCGGGGUUCGACUCCCCGCAUCCGAA